rnacentral:rRNA from 1 species
GACGAACGCUGGCGGCGUGCCUAACACAUGCAAGUCGAACGGAAAGGCCCUGCUUUUGUGGGGUGCUCGAGUGGCGAACGGGUGAGUAACACGUGAGUAACCUGCCCUUGACUUUGGGAUAACUUCAGGAAACUGGGGCUAAUACCGGAUAGGAGCUCCUGCUGCAUGGUGGGGGUUGGAAAGUUUCGGCGGUUGGGGAUGGACUCGCGGCUUAUCAGCUUGUUGGUGGGGUAGUGGCUUACCAAGGCUUUGACGGGUAGCCGGCCUGAGAGGGUGACCGGCCACAUUGGGACUGAGAUACGGCCCAGACUCCUACGGGAGGCAACAGUGGGGAAUAUUGCACAAUGGGCGGAAGCCUGAUGCAGCAACGCCGCGUGCGGGAUGACGGCCUUCGGGUUGUAAACCGCUUUCGCCUGUGACGAAGCGUGAGUGACGGUAAUGGGUAAAGAAGCACCGGCUAACUACGU